rnacentral:rRNA from 1 species
UACAGAGGUCCCAAGCGUUGUUCGGAUUCACUGGGCUUAAAGGGUGCGUAGGCUGCGCGGCAAGUUGGGUGUGAAAUCCCUCGGCUCAACCGAGGAACUGCGCCCAAAACUGCCGUGCUCGAGGGAGACAGAGGUGAGCGGAACUUAGGGUGGAGCGGUGAAAUGCGUUGAUAUCCUAAGGAACACCGGUGGCGAAAGCGGCUCACUGGGUCUCUUCUGACGCUGAGGCACGAAAGCUAGGGUAGCGAACGGG